rnacentral:tRNA from 1 species
UCCUCAGUGACUCAGCCAGUAAAGAGUCUGCCUGCAAUGCAGGAGACUCAGGUUCGAUCCCUGGUUAGGGGA